GAUGAACGCUGGCGGCGUGCCUAAUACAUGCAAGUCGAGCGAACGGACGAGAAGCUUGCUUCUCUGAUGUUAGCGGCGGACGGGUGAGUAACACGUGGAUAACCUACCUAUAAGACUGGGAUAACUUCGGGAAACCGGAGCUAAUACAGGAUAAGAUUUUGAACCGCAUGGUUCAAAAGUGAAAGACGGUCUUGCUGUCACUAAUAGAUGGAUCCGCGCUGCAUUAGCUAGUUGGUAAGGUAACGGCUUACCAAGGCUACGAUGCAUAGCCGACCUGAGAGGGUGAUCGGCCACACUGGAACUGAGACACGGUCCAGACUCCUACGGGAGGCAGCAGUAGGGAAUCUUCCGCAAUGGGCGAAAGCCUGACGGAGCAACGCCGCGUGAGUGAUGAAGGUCUUCGGAUCGUAAAACUCUGUUAUUUGGGAAGAACAUAUGUGUAAGUAACUGUGCACAUCUUGACGUUACCUAAUCAGAAAGCCCCGGCUAACUACGUG
rnacentral:rRNA from 1 species